CCUACGGGCGGCUGCAGUGGGGAAUAUUGGACAAUGGGCGAAAGCCUGAUCCAGCCAUGCCGCGUGUGUGAAGAAGGCCUUCGGGUUGUAAAGCACUUUCAGUGGGGAAGAAAGCCUUGGGGCUAAUACCCUCGAGGAAGGACAUCACCCACAGAAGAAGCACCGGCUAACUCCGUGCCAGCAGCCGCGGUAAUACGGAGGGUGCGAGCGUUAAUCGGAAUUACUGGGCGUAAAGCGCGCGUAGGUGGUCUGAUAAGCCGGUUGUGAAAGCCCCGGGCUCAACCUGGGAACGGCAUCCGGAACUGUCAGGCUAGAGUGCAGGAGAGGAAGGUAGAAUUCCCGGUGUAGCGGUGAAAUGCGUAGAGAUCGGGAGGAAUACCAGUGGCGAAGGCGGCCUUCUGGACUGACACUGACGCUGAGGUGCGAAAGCGUGGGUAGCAAACAGGAUUAGAUACCCUGGUAGUC
rnacentral:rRNA from 1 species